CACAGCCAAACCCAAAUCCCCAGCCUUUACCUCAGCCAGACCCGAACGCUCCGCCGUUGCCUCUGCCGCAGCCUAACCCAAACAACCCGCAACCUCUGCCGCAGCCAGACCCUAACGCGCCAUCACUACCUCUGCCGCAGCCAGACCCAAACGCGCCACCACUGCCUCUGCCACAACCUGAUCCGAACGCGCCACCACAACCUUUGCCGCAACCAGACCCAAACAACCCUCAACCUUUACCGCAACCUGACCCUAACGCACCACCACAGCCUUUGCCGCAACCAGACCCUAACUCGCCGCCACAGCCUUUGCCGCAACCAGACCCGAACACGCCUCCUGGCCAACAAAUUAAUGCAAAGAUAUCAUCACAGCCGGAUUCUAUUGGUGGAGCCAGAACUUUAUAUCCAUACGGUGUAAU
rnacentral:lncRNA from 1 species